GACGAACCACACGAACGUUAUUCGGAAUUACUGGGCUUAAAGGGUGCGUAGGCGGCGCGGUAAGUAGGGUGUGAAAUCCCUCGGCUCAACCGAGGAACUGCGCUCUAAACUACCGUGCUUGAGGGAGGUAGAGGUGAGCGGAACUUAGGGUGGAGCGGUGAAAUGCGUUGAUAUCCUAAGGAACACCGGUGGCGAAGGCGGGUCUCUGGGCAGUAACUGACGCUGAGGAGCGAAAGCGUGGGGAGCGAACAGG
rnacentral:rRNA from 1 species